AGGAGCCAGGCUCGCCGCGUGCUUGUGGGUGUGUGUUGACUAGCCAAAGUGAACGUACAGGGACUAACGGGGCUUGGUGCAACCAGCAAACCAAACAAAGUCUCAGCUGGACCGGAUGCUACGCAUACAGACAUCCAAACAGUAACCAGUUGCAUGCAUAGAGUCUGGCCACAUAGGGCUUGGCUGCGUUACGAGAGUCUGGCUGGCUUGAUACACGCAUCCAAACGCACCCCUGUGAUUUGUGGAACUACAAUCCACUAUUACACGACCCAUGUUGGCCCAAUGUAUUUUGUAUUUGGUUUCCUUUCUCGCUUCAUCUCAUAGCUGGCGCAUGCAGACUCCUCCUUCUACACUGCUUGUCCUUCUUCGUUGCAGCCACGCUCACAGCUCUCCGUCCAGUACCACCUCGCGCCCGAGCACCGCCUCCCCCACCAUCGAGGAGGCCGCCCCAAGCGUCGUCGCCGCCGCCGAGUCGUGGCUCACCGAAUUGGCCAAGCCACUUUAUCCAAUUAGAUGUAGCAAAUUUUUGUGCUGCCAGUUAGAGCAUGAUAGAGACAAAGAGUGAGGUCAGUUGUUGCAAUCUGAUCUUUGAUUAUGUAUCACUAGUAACGUUCGCGCGCCUUGCACGCGUGGGAAAUAAUUUGUAACUUUAGUAUUGAAGAUGGUUCAUGUUAGUUGUGUUUUUUAGAUAAUAUAGAGCAUGAAAGACAAUAUAGAGCAUAACAGGCUUAUAUAUAAAAUAGAGUUAAGUUAGAUGUGCCAGGAGCUAAUAUGUUUGUUACAAUAUUUAAACCUAGAUUGCUAUAUUUACACGAAAUGUCUUUAAAGGAGUUGAGCAGACAUAUAUAAUUAUACAGAGGGCAUUUCACAACUUAAAAGGUUGUCGACGAUCUGAGAAAUUAAAAUCUUCAGUUCUUGAAAGAUUUGGUGUCUGUUUUUUUUCUUUGAUGCGUUGCUGUCCCUGUUUGAACCUGUAGUUGGAAAUAAUGACAGGCGGUUUUUAAAAGAUAAUAAAAAAUCAAGCAAGCAGAAAAGGAAGUAAUCGAAAUGUUUAGUAUAACUGGUUUUCAUAUUUAAUUUCUAUAUUCAAGAAGCAUAUAGAUGAGUGCAUUGUCUUAUGGUAGUAGAUGAAGUCCUUUUAAAAUGAGUUUUGUAGUAGAUGGAAGAGUGUGAGCACCAUGUAAUAGCUAGGAAUAAACUUGUUAAAAUUUGUUGUGUCGAUGUUCAGAGUAUUAUAGAGGAAAACAGGAAAAAUAAAGGCAUCUCCACAUAAAACAGCAGUUUCAUCACAAAGUAUUUUUAUUUUUUCAGUUUGAAUGCAUUGCCGAUACCUUUCUCGUAUUUGUGUGUAUAUGUGUACCUAAAUUUAUGUGUCUGUGUGAGGAUUUGUGUAUACAGAGACAUGUACACAGCAGGAUACGUAGAUGCAUAAUUGUUGUGUAAUAAAAUAUAAGCGGCGGAUUGCAUAUAUUUUUCAAUGAAUAGCAUAUUUAGGAAGCCUGAAGCUUUGUAUAUAUUCACUAUCCGAGUAGUAAUACCUGGUCCUUUAGGGGAUGUAACGUUUCAAAAGCAAGCUACGAUUGUUCCAAGUGCUUCAGCGACCUGUUUCAUUUGGGCCAAAUCAAAUUAUAAAUUGUUAUAUGUACGUUAAAUAAUUUUUAGAAGAAAGGAUAACCAAUUUAUAUGUUGGUAUAUGUAGUACGUAAACAUAUUAGGCAAAAGUAUUUUGUUUAUGAUUUGCUGGGUGUACGAACCUGAUCUUGAUAGAAAAAGCAGGAUGUAAAAAUAUAUCCUCGAUGGUUCAAAGCAACGAAACGACCUGGCGAGAGGGCCUGCAACAUGUGGAAUUAACAGAUCAAAUCUUGUUGUGUACAUUAAUGGCAAUGAAAAAUAGGACUAUGAUGGUGCUUACUAAACAAAUCAAGUUUAGCUAAGAACUAAGAGGGAGUCGCCAAAGUGAAAUCAAAUCUUCUCUGGUGAACAUAAGAUUCUAGCAUUUGCUUAUCCUAUACAGAUUAACGUAAGGAGAACGGUGAGAGUGGCUACUUCUGCUUUUCAUGUCAGACGACUAGGCUCCUUUUCGAUCUCUCAUUUUUCACCUACAUGUUCUUUUUCCCCUCGAGCGAGCAGCGACAAUAGGCCAGCAGCUGGGACCGAAUCGAACCGGAAGGUGAAGAGCUGUUGCCAUGCCGAUGCUAGGAUCUGACCAGAAUAAUUAACACUGCAUUUUUUGAGUAAUUGAAGAAACCUUUUGAAAUUGACUUGUGCAAUGCCGGUGCUAGGAUUUGGCCAGAAUAAUUAGUGUUGCAAUUUUGAGUAAUUAAAGAACCAUUUUGACUUGCACAACAAAGAAACCAGCCAGUAAUAAGCAUACUAUUUUGCAGGACCGGGAGAGGGGACUUUGCGUAUCGGCUCUGCAAAUGGUGGCAGAAGAACGGGGGCGACAAUGUCCGUUCCCCACUCCAACCCACAAAGGUACAACGUCUAUUCGAAAUCACCACAAAACCCUAGCGAACAGAAAUAACGGAGAAGAGGAAGCAUGGGAGGAUGUUGACGGACACGCGCUUACUAUGCAGCGAGGGAGACGAUCGGGACCAGGAGUGUCGCUGAUAUCGUCGGAAGAAGAAACCGCCGGGAACCACGGUCGACGGAGGCGGCUUGGGCUUAUGCGAGGGAGGCGGCCAGGUCAACGGGCUGUUUUUUUACUUACUCAUGAACAUUGGCGCAAGUGCAGCAGGUCCGAGCUCCAAAAUGAUUUAAGGGGAAAACCUAUCUCCUCUAUAUCCUCGUCCUCCCAGAUCAAUACAGCCAUAGGAGCUCUCCGGCACCCGCCCCGCUGUAGAUCCAAAUCAGGUGGACCUUCUCUCGUCGUGGUUAGGGAGAAGAGCGAGGGCGAGGGAGACAUUGAUGACGUGUUGGACGAACCUGUACCAACUGUGGAGACAGACGGAGCACACGAGGAGAGAGGACACACGGCUGUUGGUCCCCGACGUCGCCCUCACCCUCGCUGGGGACGCCAGGCCGUUUGAGAGGCCCUUCUGGGAGACAACGGAGGCGAGCUAUUCAUACAUUUGUUUUACUGGAAGGUUCCAAACGCAAACAGACAGAGAAGAAAUCGCGUCCGUUCAUCAAACAUCGUGU
rnacentral:lncRNA from 1 species